rnacentral:rRNA from 1 species
CCUCGGUCUCAAAAAGAGAAGGGCAUGAGCCAGGCGUUGGACUGAAUUUGAAAAAUCAACUUCUGUCCAAACCAAAACCUGGCGUUUCUACCCCUCCAAAAACCGAUGCUGACCGGGGGUGCAGGAGGGUUGGGGAGGCACAAAAAUGAACUCUGCAACCAACCCCAAAUCUCUGCACCACCCAAACCUCCCCUAAACUAAAAUCUUUCCCCUCUCAAAAUUUUCAAGCAUUUUUAACUCUUUUUUAAAAUUUUUUUUCAUUUUCCCCUCGGGGAUUUUGUUCUUUAUCGUUCCCCCCCCAUUUUUUCCCCUUCGGGGGAUUUUCCCCCCAACACUUUGGGGCUGCUUUCCAAAACAACCCAACUCAAACAGGAGGGUGGUGGGUCCUACGAAAAAUGAAUUUUUCUACAGGGGGGCUCUCACGCUGUCGCGCGCCCUCUUCAGGGGCUC